AAGGUUUUAAGUUAAAAAAACUAAUAAUCUUCAAAAUUAUAUAUAAAGAAAAUUAUUCUUUAAGCCUUA
rnacentral:tRNA from 1 species